AUUGAACUCUGGCGGCGUGCUUUACACAUGCAAGUCGAGCGGCAGCACGGACUUCGGUCUGGUGGCGAGCGGCGAACGGGUGAGUAAUACAUCGGAACGUACCUUUUAGUUGGGGAUAACGCAUCGAAAGAUGUGCUAAUACCGAAUAAUCUCUGAGGAGGAAAGGCGGGGAUCGCAAGACCUGUCGCUGAAAGAGCGGCCGAUGGCUGAUUAGCUAGUUGGGGAGGUAAAUGCUCACCAAGGCGAUGAUCAGUAGCUGUUCUGAGAGGAAGAUCAGCCACACUGGGACUGAGACACGGCCCAGACUCCUACGGGAGGCAGCAGUGGGGAAUAUUGGACAAUGGGCGCAAGCCUGAUGCAGCAACGCCGCGUGCGGGAUGACGGCCUUCGGGUUGUAAACCGCUUUUAGUAAGGAAGAAGGGGAGUUUUGCUCCUUGACGGUACUUGCAGAAAAAGGACCGGCUAACUACGUGCCAGCAGCCGCCGUAA
rnacentral:rRNA from 1 species